rnacentral:rRNA from 1 species
CAGUACGUGAAWUUGUUGAAAGGGAAACGCUNGAAGUCAGUCGCGUCGGCCGGGACUCAGCCUUGAACGGUGCACUUCCCGGUGGACGGGCCAGCAUCAGUUUCGAUCGUCGGAAAAGGGUUUGAGGAAUGUGGCACCUCCGGGUGUGUUAUAGCCUCUUGCCGCACGCGACGGUUGGGACUGAGGAUCGCAGCUUCGGCUUAGGAUGCUGGCGUAAUGGCUUUAAACGACCCGUCUUGAAACACGGACCAAGGAGUCUAACAUGUCUGCGAGUGUUUGGGUGUCAAACCCGAGCGCGCAAUGAAAGUGAAUGUAGGUGGGAGGCCUCGGCCGCACCAUCGACCGAUCUGGAUCUUUAGUGAUGGAUUUGAGUAAGAGCAUAUAUGUUGGGACCCGAAAGAUGGUGAACUAUGCCUGAAUAGGGUGAAGCCAGAGGAAACUCUGGUGGAGGCUCGUAGCGAUUCUGACGUGCAAAUCGAUCGUCAAAUUUGGGUAUAGGGGCGAAAGACUAAUCGAACCAU